AGUCCAAAGCUAAACGGCAUAUUUAUUCAUCUGCACCUGAAAGGGCUUCAUGAGCAAGAGCUUAUUUUUACGCUUCUUCAAAAAAGCAAUUCUCUCUCCUCUGGCAUCACUUUACUACCUUUAGAUAAAACAGUUCCCGCAGAAGACAAGACUCUCGGAUGGCACUUGCUUUCCCAACCGUAACGGGAUCAGAUUCUUUAUAAAAGUGACCACCUCUUCUUCACAUAAAACCAUUCGCUCAGAAUCGACAACUGCAGCCCUUCCCCAAUGCUCUU
rnacentral:lncRNA from 1 species